GGUGGUGGGGACAGAGUGGAAUAUCCAUUUGUUACUUAGUCAUUUAAAAAAAUGAUUGAUUCAUAUGAUCUGGAUAGCUAGGUGGGUGUCCCCUUCCUCCCUCAUUGCUGCAUGUGUCCUUCCCAACACUGCGUGCUCAGUUGAAGAGGACGACCUUUCCUGUUAAAGGAGAACCAUUCUUCUGUCAAGGGUAUAUGAGUAGCUGCACACUCCCCUGCUAGAACCUCCAAAAAAGCUUACAAGAAGUAAGAUGGAAUUAUGUUAUGGAGAGUAUUGUGAUUAUACCAAUGACAAGGGAAGAUUUCCAAGGAGAAAAUGGUUGUUUCUGGGCCAUAAUUCUUUCUCCCUU
rnacentral:snRNA from 1 species